rnacentral:rRNA from 1 species
GACGAACGCUGGCGGCGUGCUUAACACAUGCAAGUCGAGCGGUAAGGCCCUUUCGGGGGUACACGAGCGGCGAACGGGUGAGUAACACGUGGGUGACCUGCCCUCAGCUCUGGGAUAAGCCUGGGAAACCGGGUCUAAUACUGGAUAUGACUCCAUGACGCAUGUUGUGGGGUGGAAAGCCUUGUGCGGCUGAGGAUGGGCCCGCGGCCUAUCAGCUUGUUGGUGGGGUGANGGCCUACCAAGGCGACGACGGUAGCCGGCCUGAGAGGGCGACCGGCCACACUGGGACUGAGACACGGCCCAGACUCCUACGGGAGGCAGCAGUGGGGAAUCUUGCGCAAUGGGCGAAAGCCUGACGCAGCGACGCCGCGUGAGGGAUGACGGCCU